rnacentral:rRNA from 1 species
UACGUAGGGUGCGAGCGUUGUCCGGAAUUACUGGGCGUAAAGAGCUCGUAGGUGGUUUGUCGCGUUGUUCGUGAAAACUCACAACUCAAUUGUGGGCGUGCGGGCGAUACGGGCAGACUGGAGUACUGCAGGGGAGACUGGAUUCCUGGUGGUAGCGGUGGAAAUGCGCAGAUAUCAGGAGGAACACCGGUGGCGAAGGGCGGGGUCUCUGGGGCAGUAACUGACGCUGAGGAGCGAAAAGCGUGGGGAGCGAACGG